rnacentral:rRNA from 1 species
GACGAACGCUGGCGGCGUGCUUAACACAUGCAAGUCGAACGAAGAGCGAUGGAAGCUUGCUUCUAUCAAUCUUAGUGGCGAACGGGUGAGUAACGCGUAAUCAACCUGCCCUUCAGAGGGGGACAACAGUUGGAAACGACUGCUAAUACCGCAUACGAUCUAAUCUCGGCAUCGAGGAUAGAUGAAAGGUGGCCUCUACAUGUAAGCUAUCACUGAAGGAGGGGAUUGCGUCUGAUUAGCUAGUUGGAGGGGUAACGGCCCACCAAGGCGAUGAUCAGUAGCCGGUCUGAGAGGAUGAACGGCCACAUUGGGACUGAGACACGGCCCGGACUCCUACGGGAGGCAGCAGUGGGGAAUCUUCCGCAAUGGACGAAAGUCUGACGGAGCAACGCCGCGUGAGUGAUGACGGCCUUCGGGUUGUAAAGCUCUGUUAAUCGGGACGAAAGGCCUUCUUGCGAAUAGGGAGAAGGAUUGACGGUACCGGAAGAGAAAGCCACGGCUAACUACGUG